GACGAACGCUGGCGGCGUGCCUAAUACAUGCAAGUUGAGCGCUGAAGGUUGGUACUUGUACCGACUGGAUGAGCAGCGAACGGGUGAGUAACGCGUGGGGAAUCUGCCUUUGAGCGGGGGACAACAUUUGGAAACGAAUGCUAAUACCGCAUAAAAACUUUAAACACAAGUUUUAAGUUUGAAAGAUGCAAUUGCAUCACUCAAAGAUGAUCCCGCGUUGUAUUAGCUAGUUGGUGAGGUAAAGGCUCACCAAGGCGAUGAUACAUAGCCGACCUGAGAGGGGGAUCGGCCACAUUGGGACGGGGACACGGCCCAAACUCCUACGGGAGGCAGCAGUAGGGAAGCUUCGGCAAUGGACGAAAGUCUGACCGAGCAACGCCGCGUGAGUGAAGAAGGUUUUCGGAUCGUAAAACUCUGUUGGUAGAGAAGAACGUUGGUGAGAGUGGAAAGCUCAUCAAGUGACGGUAACUACACAGAAAGGGACGGCUAACUACGUG
rnacentral:rRNA from 1 species